CAUAGUACCAAUGUUAUUUAGCACAGGGUGAUGAAUAAAAAUCUUUCUGGUAAGAUGAUUGUCUAGCAGAGUUCUGAAUGAAAGAGAGAGAGGAAAAUUCUGAUAUCUGAAAGAAGAGAGUUUCAUAUAGGAAAAAUAGGAAGUCCAAAGGCCUUCACCUACUCCCUGUGUAACAGAAAGGACAUGUUUCUCACAGGGGCUGGAGAGAGAAGUCAAAUUUGUGUACAAAAGUAAUUAGAAUGAUGGGAAACUUCCACCCAGGGGACAGUAUAGACAGUGCUAGGGUGAAGACAAGAUUAAAAGGAUUUUAUUAAAUUUGAGGUAUAAUACAAGAAUUCAUAAAAAGUCAAGCAUUGAAAACUUGAGGAUGGGAUCCAAAUUCAGAACGAUAAAUAAUUUAAAAUGAGACCAGACAUAACAUUAAUUUCAAUGGGAACAAAUUAAUAAGAAAUGAAAAUAACAAUUAAGUAAUUUGAUUAAGUUUCUGCAUUCCUCAUAACAAUUCUGUGAGAUUGGUAUUUACUAUUAUAUUCUCAGUUAAGAAAUCACGAAAAUGACAUUAUGGAAAAAGAUCAUACCAGUCCAAACCUUACCCACGUGUGUGCGAUGAGAGAUGGUGCAGAUUUUUUUGCUAGUCCUGCCAUGGAUAAAUGACUGUCCAGCCUUGGUGACUCCCUUCUCCACUGGAAUCUACUUGAAGCAGCUUUCUGGGACUUCAGGAUACACAUGGGACUUCAGGAUACACAUAAGCAGUGCUACGUCUGCUGUCUUGCAACACCUGCACUGGAGUCCUCAGCUGAGACCUAAGAAGUACCAGUAACCUGAGACUGCCAUGCUGGUGAGGUCAUGUGUAGCUGUUGCCAUAUCCACUCUGAGACUGCCAUGCCGGUGAGGUCGUGUGUAGGUGUUGCCAUAUCCACUCUGAGACUGCCAUGCCGGAGAGGUCGUGUGCAGGUGUUGCCAUAUCCACUCUGAGACUGCCAUGCCGGAGAGGUCAUGUGCAGCUGUUGCCAUAUCCACUCUGAGACUGCCAUGCCGGAGAGUUCAUGUGCAGCUGUUGCCAUAUCCACUCUGAGACUGCCAUGCUGGAAAGGUCACAUGUAGGUGUUGCCAUCUCCAUUCCCAGGUGAGCCCAGACCUCCAGCAUCCCUGUCAAGGGCCAGACACACGAGUGAUGCCAUCCUUGGUCCCUGACACCGGCCUGCCCACCAGCUAUCUGUCUCUGAGUGAACGCUGUGAAUCCCCGUAAAACAGAAGAGUCUCUCAGCUGAGUGCUGCCAGUUUCUGACCCACAAAAUUGAGAAAUGUGCAAAUAAUUGUUCUUUAAGUCUACCAUGUGCUGUGGUCAUUUGUAAGAUAGCAGUAAAUGACUGGUUUACCAGGUAACAAGUGCAUUCAAACACUGCUUUUCAAAUUCUAAACGUUGGCCCUUUUUUCCUGCUUCUAAUACAGAAACAACAAAUUUAAGGAAAAGGGAAAUCAUGUAAGAAUGGUUAAAAAGUUACUAUUGUCUGUGAUCAGGCAAGCUAAUCACAAGUCAAGCAAAUAAUCCCAGAAGAAAGAAAUCAUGAAAUUGUACGUCUAAAUAACCUUACACUGUAGCAUAGUCAUGUAGACUUGGAAACUGAAGCACUAGACCAAGAAUGAAGAACUGAAGAGAAAGAAAAUUGUCAGUGUUUACAGGGCACUAACCAACAGAGAGAGAGAGAGCGAUUCCAACCUUAGGGAAUGACCCUAAGAAACAGUUUCUCAAAAUCAGGGUGAGUCAGAAACUGAACUUUCUGUAACCCUCUGUAAUAUCUGUAAGAAAGAUUCAUUUCACUAGCAGCUCUGAAAUACUUAGGUUGGUUCUCAAAGCCAACUGAUGCCAGGAAGCUAGUGGAGGGCUUAAAAUCCUCCUCAACAGCUCAUUGGAAUUCUUUGAAUAUGAUUCUGUGGAUCAGCCUACUUGGACUCAAGUAAACUGGAAGAUAUUUUAAAAA
rnacentral:lncRNA from 1 species